CAUGGAGCCUGCUUCUCCUUCUGCCUGUGUCUCUGCCUCUCUCUCUCUCUGUCAUGAAUAAAUAAUAAAUAAAAUCUUUAAAAAAAAUUGCUCUUACGUCUUUAAGAUACUAUAUGCAAAGGGCAUUAGCCAAAUAUACAAUUUCCCAAAGACUCACUUCAAGGCUAGAAAAUACAAAUACAGAUACCAAUAUGGACAAAACUUACUGUCCUUUGGAGCUCUCUAUUCUUGAUAUGUCCAAUAUGGCAAUGCCAGGACCAUCUGACCCAUUGCAAGCUCCUGUUAGACAACAUCUUUGACUGGUAAUUUGAGGUAGAACUUUCAAAGUAAUGUCUUUCUAUACAAAAUCUUUGUCCAAAGAAUAGAGUCAUUUGAAAUGAAAAGCCAACCAAAAGAUUUAGUAUCUCCUGCAAGCUCCUCAUGAGCAUGCUUGGGAAAGAGACCCAUCUUGGCAAAACAAUAGCCUUCCCUAUUAAUGUAAAUAUGAUUUCCAUAAUAAACCACAUGGUGCUGUCUUCCUGAUGUAAUUGCAAGAAGCCUCCUUGACCGUGCUGAGAAAUUUUAUUUGCUACCAUAAAUGAUAAACUUCUUUUCUGCAAAAGUAACCUCUUUCGGGAAUACAGAUCAGAAAUAUUGCCAUCAUCUUGGAGUCUUUAAUGUGUUUUGCAGCUGAAUGUCUUGGGGUAUAUUUCAACAAACCUCUGAACUAGAUUUUCUGAUUCUGUCCCACAGAAAGCUGUACGGUAAUGCCAUUAAUCUGAAACACUUGCUGCAUCACACAGCAAUUUGGUGAAAUUAUAAUUGAAACAUGGUACUUGACCCUGAGGGGACCAUGGAGAAAGGGAUUUGUUUUGGUGGCUUCUCAUGCAUCAUUUAAAAACUGCUGCCACUGAAUCAGUCUUACUUAUAUCUUAACUAUAUGAAGCCUGUAUUGACAGCCAUUUCAGCUGCGCUACAGAAUAUGAUGCUCCUUGCCAGCCCUGUCAUUUUGUUCUAUUUGUUUGUCUUUACUUUUCCAUAAAUUGGAUUACUCUGAUUAAUAAUAGGAUUGUGAAAUAAGAGCUUGUUAUGGGAUUCUGGUGACUACCAAGCGGAAUAUAAUAAAACCACAGUCAUGCCGUCUAAUUGAGGAAAAGACAUUUGGAAUUAAAGGAAGUUGGCGAUGUUCAGUUAUUAAUUUCAUGAAUACAAGGUAUUAAACUGGGCUAGCAUGGGAUUACUGAUUGUUGGAAUCCUUCUGAGAUCCACCUAAAAAGAAGAAAUGAAAGGGAUGAAGUAAACAGGCUAAUUUGGUGCAGUGCUCAAGAACAUUUCUUUUAAAUCUUGUUUACAUUCUGAAGUUGUUUUAAUUAAAAAUUGUCAGUUGAACCAAAUCAGUUAACCCUCCCUGCUUCUUCUGUAGCGGAGGCUGCUAGCUGUGCCCCAGUAAUUAUUUUCCCAUUUUUCUAGUAAGAAUAGAACUGGGCACGCGGCCACUCAGAAUCAUAUCUACAUUUCUCAGCCUUAUGCACAGUGGGUUGUUGCCAUGUGACUAUGUUCUGGCCAAUGAGAUAUGAUAUGAGGGAUUAAUCUGGGGGUUGUGUGUCUUAAAGGUUUGAGUGUCUGCAUCAUCUCUGUCUUCUUCCCAGUAGCUGUGAGCUAGGGAUGGCAGGAGAAAUUUGGUUCUGAUGAUUGUAGAGCCACCUUAACCGGCAUCACCUGUGCAAACUCACCUAUGAAGAAGAAAUCAAGGAAGAAAUCAAUUGGAUUCUUGAAAUCCAGAAAAUCAAGAUAUCAACUAACUGAUUAGUCAGUUAAAGUGUCCAGCUCUUGAUUUUGGCUCAGGUCAUGAUAUCAGGGUGAGAUUGAACUCUAUGUGGGCUCCCCGCCGGGUCUGGAGGCUGCUUAAGAUUUUCUCUCUCUCUCCCUCUUCCCCUCUCUCCACCCCCAUCCAUGCAUGCACAUGUGCUCGCUUUCUCUCUCUUAAAAAAAAAUCUUGCUACACCAUCCUGAACUGGUUCCUUCUACAGAGGUCAUAGGUCUAUACUGAUGGCGAAAUUGAGUGCUUCCAGCAGCAAAUAAUAGAUACCUAGACACACAGGAGCUUAAAAAGUGACAUAGAUUUGCAACUCUCAGAACAUCAAGUUCAGAGGUAGGUCAGGCUUUCUGUGCUGCAGAUUGAGCAGCUCAAUAAUAUCAUAGGCCUCAGUUUCCUUCUUCCUGUCCUUUGCCAUCCUUGAUGUGAGCCUCAGCUUCAAGCCAGUAGCAAAUAUGGGUGUUCCAGGUCUGAGCAUCAUGUCCAGACAGAACAAUAUUUCAUAAGAAAGAAAGAAACCACUUCAUCUGUGGCUGCUUUAGGCAGAAAACUUCCCAGAGAUAUCUUUGCUUCCCCAGCAGUGUUCCAUUCAUGUUUCAGUGGCCAAUUUUCCUCACAUUCCUGACCCUGUCACUGACAAGGAAAAUGAAAUUACCUCCUAAGCCAAACAGGUCUACCACAGGGGCAUGAGUAAUGUCUGUAUCUCUGGCUGUGUAGGGGAGGGGUUGAGAAAAAAUGAACAAACAUUGGAUGUAAUAAUUGAGGAAGUGGAUGAUGGGUGGGCCACCAACAGUGUCUACUACAAAAGGAAACAUAAAAGAAUCUGGGAGAAAAUAUGAAUGAAAAGGUUUAUAUUGGAGAUUUGCUUCAAAAUAAUAUGGGAAAAGGGAUGUGGGUGGAGUAUAAAGACAAGGCCAUCCAUGAAUUAAUAAUUGUUGGAUUUCAUGGGGGUUCAUUAUACUUUGUUCCCUGCUUUUGCAUCUAUUUGAAAUUAUCUGUAAUUAAAAAAAAAACCUUAAAUAAUCCAAGCAAAACAAAAAAAAGUAGCACAUGAAAUUUGAUCUGUUUUCCUGUUAGCCGUAAUGUUAUCUAACAUUUAUUAAGUGUUUGCUCUCUGCCAGGAGCUCUAUUAAUCAGUUUAGAGUGGCUUAGGCCAACAGGAGAAUUUACUUACUGGUGGGACUGGAACUUGCAGAAGUAGCUUCAGGCCUAGGUGAGUGCAUCUUUUGCUUGUACUUUCUUCCACAUUUGGGGGCGAUGGUGCAAAGGGAAGACAGUGUGUUUACUGGGCAGGCAAAAGGAGCAGAUGGCCAUUGUGCUUAUAUUAUUGUAUUUAUUCCUACUACAAACCCUAGGCACUACUGUUAUUACUCCAUUGUACAGAUGAAAAACCCAAGGCUUCAGAGGUCAAGUGACUUGCCCACAGUCACAUAGCUGGUAACGAUAAAACUAGGAUUCAAACAAUUGAAGCUGAUUUGGGAGACUACAUGUCCUACUAUCUACAGUGAGUGACUGGCUAUGAUUCUCUAUGGUCAAUUCCAAACAGUGAGAUUUCAUUAUUGAAGGUGGUGCAGCAUAGUGGUUCCACCAUCGGUUUUGGAGUUAGGUGGAUUUGGGUCCAAACUACAAUGCUCACCAGUAAGUUGCUGGCUUUCUUAGUCAGUGCCCAAGGUAGUAUUAGCCUCAUUCCAGAGAUGGGAAAUUUGAAGUCAGAGAACCUAACUGACUUGUCAAGAUGUAGAGCUAGUGGUCUAGUCCCUGUCCUGCUGGCUCGGAAGCCUGAGUUCUUUCUGCCCCACCAGUGUGAUUUAGACUGCAUCCAGGGCUGCAAGGCAUGGAAGCAAGUAAGGCAUGUUCUGUGUCCCUGACUCACUUUGCCUGAGAAGUAGCAGUUUAAAAACCUCUUUUAAAGGUUGGAAUCCCACAUCAGGUUUUGUUUUUUAAAAGAGUUCUCUCUGCCUUUCUGUUAAUUUGUUUUAACUUUGAAUUAUGGAAAAGUCCGAAUACAAAAAUAUAUAUUCACAUCCAUAUCCAAAAA
rnacentral:lncRNA from 1 species